rnacentral:rRNA from 1 species
CUGAUGCGUUGUUGGGUAGGGGAGCGUUCUGUAAGCCUGCGAAGGUGGCCUGUGAGGGUUGCUGGAGGUAUCAGAAGUGCGAAUGCUGACAUAAGUAACGAUAAAGCGGGUGAAAAGCCCGCUCGCCGGAAGACCAAGGGUUCCUGUCCAACGUUAAUCGGGGCAGGGUGAGUCGACCCCUAAGGCGAGGCCGAAAGGCGUAGUCGAUGGGAAACGGGUUAAUAUUCCCGUACUUGGUGUUACUGCGAAGGGGGGACGGAGAAGGCUAUGUUGGCCGGGCGACGGUUGUCCCGGUUUAAGCGUGUAGGCUGGUUUUCCAGGCAAAUCCGGAAAAUCAAGGCUGAGGCGUGAUGACGAGGCACUACGGUGCUGAAGCAACAAAUGCCCUGCUUCCAGGAAAAGCCUCUAAGCAUCAGGUAACAUCAAAUCGUACCCCAAACCGACACAGGUGGUCAGGUAGAGAAUACCAAGGCGCUUGAGAGAACUCGGGUGAAGGAACUAGGCAAAAUGGUGCCGUAACUUCGGGAGAAGGCACGCUGACACGUAGGUGAAGUGAUUUACUCAUGGAGCUGAAGUCAGUCGAAGAUACCAGCUGGCUGCAACUGUUUAUUAAAAACACAGCACUGUGCAAACACGAAAGUGGACGUAUACGGUGUGACGCCUGCCCGGUGCCGGAAGGUUAAUUGAUGGGGUCAGCGCAAGCGAAGCUCCUGAUCGAAGCCCCGGUAAACGGCGGCCGUAACUAUAACGGUCCUAAGGUAGCGAAAUUCCUUGUCGGGUAAGUUCCGACCUGCACGAAUGGCGUAAUGAUGGCCAGGCUGUCUCCACCCGAGACUCAGUGAAAUUGAACUCGCUGUGAAGAUGCAGUGUACCCGCGGCAAGACGGAAAGACCCCGUGAACCUUUACUAUAGCUUGACACUGAACAUUGAGCCUUGAUGUGUAGGAUAGGUGGGAGGCUUUGAAGUGUGGACGCCAGUCUGCAUGGAGCCGACCUUGAAAUACCACCCUUUAAUGUUUGAUGUUCUAACGUGGACCCGUUACCCGGGUUGCGGACAGUGUCUGGUGGGUAGUUUGACUGGGGCGGUCUCCUCCUAAAGAGUAACGGAGGAGCACGAAGGUUGGCUAAUCCUGGUCGGACAUCAGGAGGUUAGUGCAAUGGCAUAAGCCAGCUUGACUGCGAGCGUGACGGCG